rnacentral:lncRNA from 1 species
GGUGGGUGCCCGGGGUCACACUCUCUGCCUGACUGAUGGGUUUGCUGGUCUCUCUGUCACCUUCUCCCACCUCUCCUGGACCCAGCAGGCCCUCAGUCCUAGCUGUCUUACCUGUGCUCAGCUUGGAGUCUGAGGCCUCAGGUGGAGAUCCGCCUGUCACUGUCAGAGGGAGAGAAGAUUCCUCCAGUCACUAUUUUCUAAGCAUGUCGGGCACCAACCAAUGCUGAGUUCUGCUGUGUGCCCACCCUGGAGGGUCCCAAGGUGCCACCAGGCCUCAGACACACUGAGAUUCUCAGAGGAAGU